GUAGGCGGGGCAACGGCCCACCUAGCCUGCGAUCGGUAGGGGUUCUGAGAGGAAGGUCCCCCACAUUGGAACUGAGACACGGUCCAAACUCCUACGGGAGGCAGCAGUGAGGAAUAUUGGUCAAUGGGCGAGAGCCUGAACCAGCCAAGUAGCGUGCAGGAUGACGGCCCUAUGGGUUGUAAACUGCUUUUAUGCGGGGAUAAAGUGCUCCACGUGUGGGGCAUUGCAGGUACCGCACGAAUAAGGACCGGCUAAUUCCGUGCCAGCAGCCGCGGUAAUACGGAAGGUCCAGGCGUUAUCCGGAUUUAUUGGGUUUAAAGGGAGCGUAGGCCGAUGGCCAAGCGUGUUGUGAAAUGUGGACGCUCAACGUCCGACUUGCAGCGCGAACUGGCCGUCUUGAGUGCGCGCAACGUUGGCGGAAUUCGUCGUGUAGCGGUGAAAUGCUUAGAUAUGACGAAGAACUCCGAUUGCGAAGGCAGCUGACGGGAGCGCAACUGACGCUGAAGCUCGAAGGUGCGGGUAUCGAACAGGAUUAGAUACCCUGGUAGUCCGCACGGUAAACGAUGGAUGCCCGCUGUGUGCCCCUGGGGUACGUGGCCAAGCGAA
rnacentral:rRNA from 1 species